GGGAGGGUGGCAGAGCCGGGAGGGGCUGUCAGGACCCCAAAGUCCUAACAGACACCCAGAAAAGAACUGGGGCAGCCAGGAGGAGGGCCUAAGUCUGGGAGGCUGGCCGGAACUUGGGGGUCCCAGCCUGGAGGGGAUAUGGAGGGGCCCUCCCCAGGAACACAGGGAAAGGUGGGGACAGUCAGAGGCCUGGGAGGAGCCUCCCAGUAAUGGAAUACAGGGGGGGCCCCCAAGGGGCCAAGGUAGCCUUCAGGAAUUGCCCAGGCCCCACCAGCCUCCACCUUCCCCAGAGAACUCCUGGGCAGGCCCAGCAGAAUGCUUUUGUGCUCGGCAGCCUGAAGCCGGCACUGCUAUGGGCUGGAGGGCUGAGGGAACAUCCCCACACC
rnacentral:lncRNA from 1 species